UACGAAGGGGGCUAGCGUUGCUCGGGAAUCACUGGGCGUAAAGGGUGCGUAGGCGGCGCGGUAAGUCGGGUGUGAAAUCUUGGAGCUUAACUCCGAAACUGCAUUCGAUACUGCCGUGCUUUGAGGACUGGAGAGGAGACUGGAAUUUACGGUGUAGCGGUGAAAUGCGUAGAUAUCGUAAGGAAGACCAGUGGCGAAGGCGGGUCUCUGGACA
rnacentral:rRNA from 1 species